rnacentral:rRNA from 1 species
CCUACGGGAGGCAGCAGUAGGGAAUCUUCGUCAAUGGACGAGAGUCUGAACCAGCCACGUAGCGUGAAGGAUGACUGCCCUAUGGGUUGUAAACUUCUUUUAUAAUGGAAUAAAACGAGGCUCGUGUGCCUUUUUGCUUGUACUUUAUGAAUAAGGAACGGCUAACUCCGUGCCAGCAGCCGCGGUAAUAUGGAGGGUCCGAGCGUUAUCAGGAUUUAUUGGGUUUAAAGGGAGCGUAGUUGGGUUAAUAAGUCAGUUGUGAAAGUUUGCGGCUCAACCGUAAAAUUGCAAUUGAUACUGGAAAUCUUGAGUGCAGUAGAGGUAGGCGGAACUCGUGGUGUAGCGGUGAAAUGCUUAGAUAUAACGAAGAACCCCGAUUGCGAAGGCAGCUUACUAAACUGCGACUGACAUUGAGGCUCGAAAGUAUGGGUAGCAAACAGGAUUAGAUACCCGAGUAGUC